GAUGAAGAACGUAGCGAACUGCGAUAAGUAAUGUGAAUUGCAGAAUUCAGUGAAUCAUCGAGUCUUUGAACGCACAUUGCGCCCCCUGGCAUUCCGGGGGGCAUGCCUGUCCGAGCGUCAUUGCUGCCCUUCAAGCCCGGCUUGUGUGUUGGGUCGUCGUCCCCCCCGGGGGACGGGCCCGAAAGGCAGCGGCGGCACCGCGUCCGGUCCUCGAGCGUAUGGGGCUUUGUCACCCGCUCGAUUAGGGCCGGCCGGGCGCUAGCCGGCGUCUCCAACCUUCUAUUUUACCAGGUUGACCUCGGAUCAGGUAGGGAUACCCGCUGAACUUAAGCAUAUCAAUAAGCGGAGGA
rnacentral:misc_RNA from 1 species